GACGAACGCUGGCGGCGUGCUUAACACAUGCAAGUCGUACGGUAAGGCCCUUUCGGGGGUACACGAGUGGCGAACGGGUGAGUAACACGUGAGUAACCUGCCCACAACUUUGGGAUAACGCUAGGAAACUGGUGCUAAUACUGGAUAUGUGCUCCUGCUGCAUGGUGGGGGUUGGAAAGCUCCGGCGGUUGUGGAUGGACUCGCGGCCUAUCAGCUUGUUGGUGGGGUAGUGGCCUACCAAGGCGGCGACGGGUAGCCGGCCUGAGAGGGUGACCGGCCACAUUGGGACUGAGGUACGGCCCAGGCUCCUACGGGAGGCAGCAGUGGGGAAUAUUGCACAAGGGGCGCAAGCCGGAUGCAGCAACGCCGCGGGCGGGAUGACGGCCUUCGGGUUGUAAACCGCUUUCAGCAGGGACGAAGCUUUUUGUGACGGUACCUGCAGAAGAAGCACCGGCUAACUACGUG
rnacentral:rRNA from 1 species